UACUCUGAAAUUUAAAUUAAAUAUAAAUGUUUUCUUUGUUCAAAAUCGAAAAACAAAAAAAUUAAAUUGUUUAACAAGCAAUUUUACAUUUGCACAGGAUUUAUUUUCCAUAGUAAAUCAACAGUUAUUCAGUUAAAACAUUUUGGGCAAAAACAUGGAUUGCAGAUUUCUGAAGAUAGUAAGAUUCGACAUAAAAUGUAAGUUUGGCAAAUAAAUUGGAAUUAAAUUCGGGUCAAUUUUGAAUCCCUUUACAUAAUAUUCAUAAUUCUGCAAAGAAGUAAAAUGUAAUUAUGUAUGCGAAUAAAUUCUCUUACAUCAAACCUUUUUAAAUGGACAGUUCAAUGGCUUUGCAAACGUCGAAGUCAAUGGUGAAGUAAUUAAUGAACUUGUCAGUGAAUUUAAAGUUUAAAUUGAAUGUUCCCGUUACGUUAUACACAUCUUCAGUUAACUUAUAGUCCGCGAAUAUAGUGGUAAGAUUGCUAUCUGUGCGGUUGAUCCAAUAGUUUGUUACUAUUAAAUUUGGAAGUCGAUUAUCAACAUCUAGUUUGGUGAACUCUACAAGUUUGCGCUUUACCAAAACGUUGAAAUAUUAAAAAGA